rnacentral:misc_RNA from 1 species
CACACUCCAAGCAGUGCUUGAUGUUGGACGGUGCGGAGGCCGCCUCGGGUUUUUCCUGGGACGGGUUGAUCCGCACGUCUGGAACGCGUGGGCGUCCGGUCUGUCGUGACACCGCGAGCGUAGCAAGGCUUUUGCAGUCAACGUCGCUCGAUCGGGACUCCAGCGGACGGUCAUAUUUUUCCCGUAGGCGACUACGUGGAUUCAUUCAAGA